CCUACGGGAGGCAGCAGUGGGGAAUAUUGCACAAUGGGGGAAACCCUGAUGCAGCGACGCCGCGUGAGUGAAGAAGUAAUUCGGUAUGUAAAGCUCUAUCAGCAGGGAAGAAAAUGACGGUACCUGAGUAAGAAGCCCCGGCUAACUACGUGCCAGCAGCCUCGGUAAUACGUAGGGGGCAAGCGUUAUCCGGAUUUACUGGGUGUAAAGGGAGCGUAGACGGCAGUGCAAGUCUGGAGUGAAAGGCGGGGGCUCAACCCCCGGACUGCUCUGGAAACUGUACGGCUGGAGUGCAGGAGAGGUAAGUGGAAUUCCUAGUGUAGCGGUGAAAUGCGUAGAUAUUAGGAGGAACACCAGUGGCGAAGGCGGCUUACUGGACUGUAACUGACGUUGAGGCUCGAAAGCGUGGGGAGCAAACAGGAUUAGAUACCCCUGUAGUC
rnacentral:rRNA from 1 species